rnacentral:rRNA from 1 species
CUCCUACGGGUGGCUGCAGUGGGGAAUUUUGGACAAUGGGGGAAACCCUGAUCCAGCCAUGCCGCGUGCGGGAAGAAGGCCUUCGGGUUGUAAACCGCUUUUGUCAGGGAAGAAAUCCUUUGGGUUAAUACCUCGGAGGGAUGACGGUACCUGAAGAAUAAGCACCGGCUAACUACGUGCCAGCAGCCGCGGUAAUACGUAGGGUGCGAGCGUUAAUCGGAAUUACUGGGCGUAAAGCGUGCGCAGGCGGUUUUGUAAGAUCGAUGUGAAAUCCCCGGGCUCAACCUGGGAACUGCAUUGGUGACUGCAAGGCUGGAGUGCGGCAGAGGGGGAUGGAAUUCCGCGUGUAGCAGUGAAAUGCGUAGAUAUGCGGAGGAACACCGAUGGCGAAGGCAAUCCCCUGGGCCUGCACUGACGCUCAUGCACGAAAGCGUGGGGAGCAAACAGGAUUAGAUACCCUGGUAGUCCACGCCCUAAACGAUGUCGACUAGUUGUUGGACGGCUUGCUGUUCAGUAACGUAGCUAACGCGUGAAGUCGACC